rnacentral:rRNA from 1 species
UACGUAGGGCGCAAGCGUUGUCCGGAAUCAUUGGGCGUAAAGCGCACGUAGGCGGCUUAGCAAGUCGGAAGUGAAAGCCCUUGGCUCAACCAAGGAAGUGCUUUCGAAACUGCUGAGCUUGAGUAGUUAAGAGGAUCGCGGAAUUCCCGGUGUAGAGGUGAAAUUCGUAGAUAUCGGGAGGAACACCAGUGGCGAAGGCGGCGAUCUGGGAACAUACUGACGCUGAGGUGCGAAAGCGUGGGGAGCAAACAGG